GAUGAACGCUGGCGGCGUGCCUAAUACAUGCAAGUCGAGCGAACAGACGAGGAGCUUGCUCCUCUGACGUUAGCGGCGGACGGGUGAGUAACACGUGGAUAACCUACCUAUAAGACUGGGAUAACUUCGGGAAACCGGAGCUAAUACCGGAUAAUAUAUUGAACCGCAUGGUUCAAUAGUGAAAGACGGUUUUGCUGUCACUUAUAGAUGGAUCCGCGCCGCAUUAGCUAGUUGGUAAGGUAACGGCUCACCAAGGCAACGAUGCGUAGCCGACCUGAGAGGGUGAUCGGCCACACUGGAACUGAGACACGGUCCAGACUCCUACGGGAGGCAGCAGUAGGGAAUCUUCCGCAAUGGGCGAAAGCUUGACGGAGCAACGCCGCGUGAGUGAUGAAGGUCUUCGGAUCGUAAAACUCUGUUAUUAGGGAAGAACAAAUGUGUAAGUAACUAUGCACGUCUUGACGGUACCUAAUCAGAAAGCCACGGCUAACUACGUG
rnacentral:rRNA from 1 species